UACGUAGGGUGCAGGCGUUAAUCGGAAUUACUGGGCGUAAAGCGUGCGCAGGCGGCUCUUUAAGUCAGAUGUGAAAGCCCCGGGCUUAACCUGGGAAUUGCGUUUGAAACUGGAGAGCUGGAGUGUGGAAGAGGGGGGUGGAAUUCCAGGUGUAGCAGUGAAAUGCGUAGAGAUCUGGAGGAACACCGAUGGCGAAGGCAGCCCCCUGGGCUAACACUGACGCUCAUGCACGAAAGCGUGGGGAGCAAAC
rnacentral:rRNA from 1 species